CGUAACUAUAGGGUGGCAGGGUUGGCAAAAUGCCACGGGCCCCCGACCCAAAAGGGCCCCGGCCCAAAAGGCCGUGAGAUUAGAAAUUUU